CUGUAUAUUAUUAUUAGGUAUAUGUAUAUUUAUUGUAUGUACCCAUUCACCGCAAAAUAGAACAUAUUUUUCUGUAGUACUUUAAAAUGAUAAUUGUAUAUUCCAUUACUGUAAUAAUAAUAACAGACAAGUGCGCUCAUUUCUCUCGCGGAUAAACCUGUAUUAUUAUUAUAGAGUAUCAUGCGUAAUAAUUUAUUAUGGUAGCCGGUACUGGGUAAGUAGUUAGCACCUAUACUUACGCAGUUACGCUUGUACAACUACAACAGACGUAAAUUUGAAAAACUAUCAUGUGCUUUGAAAACGACAUUUUGCGAUAUUUAAUUAGUACUUUGGCAGUAGUGACGCACUGCACCACUCUGACCCCUGAUUAAAUCAGGGCCCCCCAAAAGCAAGUAUCCACAGCCGAUUAUACAAGCGACAAUAAGUGAAUUUAGUAACUUCUUUUAAAUAGUACCUAUUUAAUAUAUAAUUCAUUAUUUAUUGAUU